rnacentral:rRNA from 1 species
CCUACGGGAGGCAGCAGUGAGGAAUAUUGGUCAAUGGACGAGAGUCUGAACCAGCCAAGUAGCGUGAAGGAUGACUGCCCUAUGGGUUGUAAACUUCUUUUAUAUGGGAAUAAAAUGUUCCACGUGUGGGAUUUUGUAUGUACCAUAUGAAUAAGGAUCGGCUAACUCCGUGCCAGCAGCCGCGGUAAUACGGAGGAUCCGAGCGUUAUCCGGAUUUAUUGGGUUUAAAGGGAGCGUAGGCGGAGUGUUAAGUCAGUUGGUAAAGUUUGGGGCUUAACCGUAAAAUUGCAGUUGAAACUGGCAGUCUUGAGUACAGUAGAGGUAGGCGGAAUUCGUUGUGUAGCGGUGAAAUGCUUAGAUAUCACGAAGAACUCCGAUAGCGAAGGCAGCUCACUGGACUGCAACUGACACUGAGGCUCGAAAGUGUGGGUAUCGAACAGGAUUAGAUACCCGAGUAGUC